CACCUGUUUAUCAAAAACAUGGUUUUAUAAUAUAAAUAUAAGAUUUGUUCUGCUCAAUGAUUAUUAAAUUAAAUAGCCGCAGUAUUAUGACUGUGCAAAGGUAGCAUAAUCAAUUGUCUUUUAAUUGAGGACUAGAAUGAAGGAAUGAAUGAAAUUUUAACUGUCUUAAAUAAAAAGUUAGAAUUUAAAUUUUAAGUAAGAAUGCUUAAAUAAUAUUAUGGGACGAGAAGACCCUAUAGAAUUUUAUAUAAAUUUUAAAUUAAAAUUAAUUAGGAAUAUAUAAUAAUAAAAUUUAAAAUUAUAUUUUGUUGGGAGGACAAUUAAAUUAAAUUAACUUUAAUUUUAUUUAAAUAAAAAUAACAAUAAUGUUUGAAAUAAUUGAAUAAAUUUUUAUUAUAAUUUAUAUAAGAAUUAAUUACCUUAGGGAUAACAGCGUUAUAUUUUUUGAAAGUUCAUAUUAAAAAAAAUGAUUGCGACCUCGAUGUUGAAUUAAAAUAAAAAUUAAAUGGAGAAGUUUAAUAUUUUAGUCUGUUCGACUAUUAAAAUUUUACAUGAUUUGAGUUCAAAUCGACG
rnacentral:rRNA from 1 species